rnacentral:rRNA from 1 species
AUGUCGGACGUGACGGCGGUGAUGGAUCUGGCGCUUCCACCGGGGUUCCGGUUCCACCCCACCGACGAGGAGGUGGUCACCCACUACCUCACCCGCAAGGUCCUCCGCGAAUCCUUCUCCUGCCAGGUGAUCACCGACGUCGACCUCAACAAGAACGAGCCGUGGGAGCUCCCGGGGAAGGCGAAGAUGGGGGAGAAGGAGUGGUUCUUCUUCGUGCACAAGGGUCGGAAGUACCCGACGGGAACGCGCACCAACCGGGCUACGAAGAAGGGGUACUGGAAGGCGACGGGGAAGGACAAGGAGAUCUUCCGCGGCAAGGGCCGGGACGCCGUCCUCGUCGGCAUGAAGAAGACGCUCGUCUUCUACACCGGCCGCGCCCCCAGCGGCGGGAAGACGCCGUGGGUGAUGCACGAGUACCGCCUCGAGGGCCAGCUGCCCCAUCGUCUUCCCCACACCGCCAAGGACGAUUGGGCUGUUUGCCGGGUGUUCAACAAAGACUUGGCGGCGAAGAAUGCGCCGCCCCAGAUGGCGCCGGCGGCUGACGGGGCCAUGGAGGACCCGCUCGCCUUCCUCGAUGACUUGCUCAUCGACACCAACCUCAACCUGUUCGACGACGCGGACCUGCCGAUGCUCAUGGACUCUCCGUCUGGCGCUGACGACUUCGCCGGCGCUUCGAGCUCCACCUCCAGCGCCGCCCUGCCGCUCGAGCCGGACGCGGAGCAUUUGACUAUCAAGAUGGAGCCGCCGCCGCAGCAGCAGCAGCAGAUGCAGAGCCCAGACUACUUCAUGCCGGCGACGGCCAACGGCAAUCUUGGCGGUGCCGGGUACUCAACCUACCAGGCUGUGGUGGACCAGCAGGCCGCGAUCCGCAUGUACUGCAAGCCGAAGGCGGAGGUAGCGUCUUCGUCGGCGCUGGGCUUGGACAUGGGGGCGCUCGCCGGCGCGGACACCUCGUUCCUGAUGCCGUCGUCGCGGUCGUACCUCGAUCUGGAGGAGCUGUUCCGGGGCGAGGCUCUCAUGGACUACUCCGACAUGUGGAAGAUCUGA